rnacentral:rRNA from 1 species
UCUUCCUACGGGGGGCAGCAGUGAGGAAUAUUGGUCAAUGGGCGGGAGCCUGAACCAGCCAAGUCGCGUGAAGGAAGAAGGUACUUAGUAUUGUAAACUUCUUUUGUCGGGGAACAAAGGCGGAGACGCGUCUCCGGAUGAGUGUACCCGAAGAAAAAGCAUCGGCUAACUCCGUGCCAGCAGCCGCGGUAAUACGGAGGAUGCGAGCGUUAUCCGGAUUUAUUGGGUUUAAAGGGUGCGCAGGCGGGAGAUCAAGUCAGCGGUAAAAUUGCGGGGCUCAACCCCGUACUGCCGUUGAAACUGCA